AACGAACGCUGGCGGCAGGCCUAACACAUGCAAGUCGAGCGCCCUUUCGGGAGAGCGGCGGACGGGUGAGUAACGCGUGGGAAUAUGCCCUUCUCUACGGAAUAGCCUCGGGAAACUGAGAGUAAUACCGUAUACGCCCUUUGGGGGAAAGAUUUAUCGGGGAAGGAUUAGCCCGCGUUGGAUUAGGUAGUUGGUGGGGUAAUGGCCUACCAAGCCGACGAUCCAUAGCUGGUUUGAGAGGAUGAUCAGCCACACUGGGACUGAGACACGGCCCAGACUCCUACGGGAGGCAGCAGUGGGGAAUCUUAGACAAUGGGGGCAACCCUGAUCUAGCCAUGCCGCGUGAGUGAUGAAGGCCUUAGGGUUGUAAAGCUCUUUCAGCUGGGAAGAUAAUGACGGUACCAGCAGAAGAAGCCCCGGCUAACUCCGUG
rnacentral:rRNA from 1 species